GACGAACGCUGGCGGCGUGCUUAACACAUGCAAGUCGAACGGAAAGGCCCUGCUUUUGUGGGGUGCUCGAGUGGCGAACGUGUGAGUAACACGUGAGUAACCUUCCCUUUACUUUGUGAUAACUUCAGGAAACUGGGGCUAAUACCGGAUAGGAGCUCCUGCUGCAUGGUGGGGGUUGGAAAGUUUCGGAGGUUGGGUAUGGACUCGCGGCUUAUCAGCUUGUUGGUGGGGUAGUGGCUUACCAAGGCUUUGACGGGUAGCCGGCCUGAGAGGGUGACCGGCCACAUUGGGACUGAGAUCCGGCCCACACUCAUACGGGAGGCAGCAGUGGGGAAUAUUGAACAAUGGGCGGAAGCCUGAUGCAGCACUGCCGCGUGCGGGAUAACGGCCUUCGGGUUGUAACCCGCUUUCGCCUGUAACGAAGCGCGAGUGACGGUAAUGGGUAAAGAAGCACCGGCUAACUACGUG
rnacentral:rRNA from 1 species